rnacentral:lncRNA from 1 species
CUUAUGAAUUAGAUUCAUUGUGACAGUCAAAAAUCAUAGCCAAUCUCACCGGAAACAAAAAAAAUAACCCUUGGACACCUUGCUAAUCCUUCUCUCCAUCAUUCUUAGUUCAAUAAUCAUUGAUUUCGAUUGGCAAUCACCAGAAUUUCUUGAAUAAAUUAGCCUAUGAAAUUCUCCUAUUUUUCUUCUAUGUUUGCUUCGAUUUUGUCGUUCAUCACUGUUGCUCACCAGAUCGGAGUUCUUGAUCACUGCCA